GAGAAAUUCAAAAUGGACGAUCCUUUAGUGAAGAGAGCUAUGUCAAGAAACAGCUCUUUGAUGUCCUCUCCUUAAAGGGCACAAGGACUGGGUUAUGAUGUACAGGUGGUGUACUUGAUGGUGUGUGUGGCUUUGAAGAUAAACUCUGGGACUAUUCUUCAAAUGCUGGGCACGCUGAAAAGGAAUUCCCUCCUGCUUCUGGAAAUCAUGAACUGGGAAAAAGCUAAGGACUUUGUCCUUGGCAUCUGAUGCUGUGGAAUAUGAAGCAUAAGAACAUGGACUCAAUGCCAAACACUAACCCAGGCAUGAAAAGGUUUGAGAUGGGGUCCAGGGACCAAGAGGAUAGAGGUAAAAAUGUGGACAUUGAGGGCUGUUGGGAGAGAGUGGGCAUAGGGUGGGGGGCAUGUGAGG